GACGAACGCUGGCGGCGUGCUUAACACAUGCAAGUCGAACGGAAAGGCCCUGCUUUUGUGGGGUGCCCGAGUGGCGAACGGGUGAGUAACACGUGAGUAACCUGCUCUUGACUUUGGGAUAACUUCAGGAAACUGGGGCUAAUACCGGACAGGAGCUCCUGCUGCAUGGUGGGGGUUGGAACGUUUCGGCGGUCGGGGAUGGAUUCGCGGCUGAUGAGCUUGCUGGUUGGGUAGUGGCUGACCCAGGCUGUGACGGGUAGCCGGCCGGAGAGGGGGACCGGCCACAAUGGGACUGCGGUACGGACCAGACUCCUACGGGGGGCAGCGGUGGGGAAUAUUGCACAAUGGGCGGAAGCCUGAUGCAGCAACGCCGGGUGCGGGAUGACGGCCUGCGGGUUGUAAACCGCUUUCGCCUGUGACGAAGCGUGAGUGACGGUAAUGGGUAAAGAAGCACCGGCUAACUACGUG
rnacentral:rRNA from 1 species